GACGCUACAAGCUUGGCACACAUGUAUUUGAGGAGUCUCUUCCAUUAUUCUCUGCAGAUCCUCUCAAGCUCUCUCAGGUUGGAUGGGGAGCGUGGCUGCACAGCUAUUUUCAGGUCUCUCCAGAGCUGUUAGAUCGGGUAUAAGUCUGGGCUCUGGUUGGGACACUCAAGAACAUUCAGAGACUUGUCUCAAAGCCACUCCUGCAUUGUCUUGGCUGUGUGCUUAGGGUCGUUGUCCUGUUGGAAGGUGAACCUUCGCCCCAGUCUGAGGUCCUGAGCGCUCUGGAGCAGGUUUUCAUCAAGGAUCUCUCUGUACUUUGCUCUGUUCAUCUUUGCCUCGAUCCUAACUAGUCUCCCAGUCCCUGCCGCUGAAAAACAUCCCCACAGCAUGCUGCUGCCACCACGCUUCACCGUAGGGAUGGUAACAGGUUUCCUCCAGACGUGAUGCUUGGCAUUCAGGCUAAAGAGUUCAAUCUUGGUUUCAUCAGACCAGAGAAUCUUGUUUCUCAUGGUCUGAGUGUAAGAACCGACACUGGAGUAGAGAAGCAGGUACGGUUAGUCAAACAUUUAAUCGGAACAGACAUGGAACAAGACAGGAACAGCGUCAGCACACGGGUAUACAAGGACAUAUGACAAUCAAUGCUGAAGCGGGGGAACAGCCAGAUAUAGGGGAGGUAAUGACAGAGGUGAUUGAGUCCAGGUGAGUCCAAUAAUCGCUGAUGCGCGUGACGGGGGAAGGCAGGUGUGCAUAAUGAUUGUGGCAUGAGUGCGUAAUGCUGGGAAGCAUGGCGCCCUCGUGUGCCAGGGGGGAAGAGCGGGAGCAUGCCUGACAUUGAGAGUCUUUAGGUGCCUUUUGGCAAACUCCAAGCGGGCUGUCAUGUGCCUUUUACUGAGGAGAGGCUUCCGUCUGGCCAGUUUAACAUAAAAGCCUGUUUGGUGGAGUGCUGCAGAGAUGGUUGUCCUUCUGGAAGUGUCUCCCAUUUCCACAGAGGAACUCUAGAGCUCUGUCAGAGUGGCCAUCGGGUUCUUGGACACCUCCCUGAGCAAGGGCCUUCUCCCCUGAUUGCUCAGUUUGGCCAGGGGGCCAGAUCUAAGAAGAGUCUUGGUGGUUCCAAACUUCUUCCAUUUAAGAAUGAUGGAGGCCACUGUGUUCUCGGGGACCUUCAAUGCUGCAGAAAUAUUUUGGUACCCUUCCCCAUAUCUGUGCCUCGACACAAUCCUGUCUCGGAGCUCUACGGAUAAUUCCUUCGACCUCAUGGCUUGGUUUUUGUACAGACAUGCACUGUCAACUGUGGGACCUUAUAUAGACAGGUGUGUGCCUUUCCAAAUCAUGUCCAAACAAUUGAAUUUACCACAAGUGGACUCCAAUCAAGUUGUAGAAACAUCUCCAAGGAUGAUCAAUGGAAACAGGAUGGAUCUGAGCUGCAUUUCGAGGCUCAUAAAGGGUCUGAAUACUUAUUUAUAUAAGGUUGUACUGUCAUGGGCCCUCACAGAAACUCACUGGCUUCGAUGACAGGCAUGGAGCUGCCUUGCCCCUCAAAGACUGGCUUGAUGAUCUCUGAGUCACACACCGCGUAGACCUUCUGGCUCUCAACACACAACAGGCAUUGUCCAGAUGGUGGGGGGGGGAUGGUGGGGCAGGGAGGCAGGGGAGCCAUUUCACCUCGUGACCACAGAGUCAAAUGAUCCGUCCAAUGGUCAUAAACAGACUCAAUAUUUUGGCAUUGAGUAUCGUUACAGAGGUAACAGACAGGGGAGGUCUUCUGAGCUGCAAGAGAGAAUACAACAGGAAGAGAGCUAGUUAAACAGAGACCCCAGACAAUAUUAAAUAUCAAAGUUACUACACUUAGUUUUAGAUCAGUCUGGGUCAAAACACUACUAUACAUACUCACUGUGCUUUAAUAUAGGAAUCAUUUUAUGGAAUUAUGGAAUUAAAAUGCCCAGAUUGAAUGGUGAGAUCAAGUUGUCACCACUUUCAUAUUUCACUUUGAAACAUUCACUGACUGAUCCCUGUUUCAGCACCAAUACUUUGUGUAAAUCUGUGAAACUGUGACAAGGUUUGAAAAACCUAAAUGUCGGGGAGAAGUGGCUUAUUUACAGUGUAUAAAAGUACAGUAUUCAUUUCGUUUUUGACACUAUAAUGAACACAUGCAUGGCAGGCAUGAGAACAGCUCACCUUCAAAAGAAGUGCCAGAUACAGCCCAGCCAGCCAGACAUAGAGCCAGGAAGACUGUAAGAAAAAAAAACAAGGGCUCAUGCAUGUGGAUGUCAGUACAGUACAAACACCCACUCAUCGUCUUGUUAACGGUUUCUCACUUACAGUAAUCUAUAUAUGACUAAAACUCAAAAUGCAUUGUUGACUUACUUGGAAGUAUCGAUCCAUUCAUGUUUGGAUGUUUCUGUGGAGUAUCUGCAAAUUAAAAAAUUAAAAAUUAAAACAUUUAGUCUAAACAUUAUGUAAACCUUUGCUACCAUUCAUCAUUCUAAUGUCCUCGAGUACUGAGCAGGUGGAUCUAGGGGUGUGGCGUUACAAAUAUUUUGACAACACAACAAUGAUUCCCCCAGUCAUGAAGAUGGAUAUAUCAUAUUCUAGUAGGCUAUAGUCUAGUCCCCACUGGACUGAUCAUCCCCAGGGGUCUGUUUUAGAAGGGUUCUGAGUCUGUGUGUGUGUGUGGGACAUCAACCAACCUCAGAGAUAUCUAUUUUAGCCCCAUGGUUUCAUGAUCCCUCCGCUGUACCUCACCUACCCUAAAGCUCAGUUUUAUAAAAUGUUAAUAAUAGGCCUUCAUUUAUCCUGGUUAGUCUUAUUGAGACAAUUAAAAAACGCAACAACCAACCUCAGUUCAAUAUUGCAGAUCUAUUCUUCUCUUCCGUAUUGUAAUAUGAACCUUCAGACAAGCAUGUAUGUGACAUUUCGUCUAUGUUUUGGUGUAACACAAUAGCACACUCAAGUCGUGAAAAUAAGUGUAACCGAUGUGAAAUGGCUAGUUAGUUAGCGGUGGUGCGCGCUAAUAGCGUUUCAAUCAGUGACGUCGUUGUGUUGUAAGGGCCGCGGCUUUUGUGGCGCGAUGGGUAACGAUGCUUCGUGGGUGUCGGUUGUUGAUGUGUGCAAGGGUCCCUGGUUCGAGCCCAGGUUGGGGCGAAGAGAGGGACGGAACCUACGCUGUUACAUAUGCAUAAAUAGUAUUUCAGCAGAUUUCGUGCAUUUUUGUGUGGCUUAAUUUGUGUGAAAAUACAUUUUUUGUGCGACUUCAUUCAUAGGAAAAUACCUUUUUUUUGUGGGCAAACUUCGGAACAAUCUUUUGAAACGUAUUGGAGCAAAGCAUUUUGGGCAAUGGUGUUGUACACUGCCUUUUUUGUAUUCCACAUGUUAACAACCCAAUAUUGUUAAUCAAACAGGUUGUCAACGAAUUAAAUAUAAUAUAAUAAUAGCCUUACAGGUUUUAUUUUUAUUAAUGCCAAUGCUGUUUUCUCUGCUUGUUUUCGCUUAAUAUUUUGGGAUACUGUUGCUAUGUCCGAUUUUAUGAGGGUUUCCAGACUGGAGUGUAAACCUGUAUUUGUAUGUUAUUUUUAAGGUAUCAAUGAAGGUAUUUCAUUGGUGAAUGGGGAUACAUUUGCAUGACGGUAAAUGAAUUUAUCAAUAAAUAUGGGGAAACAGAAGACCUGCAAAAAAUAAUAUGUUUGGUUUAAAUGUCCCUGUUGCAACUGCCUGGUAUUUGCAAUUAUAACGAGUCUGGACUAUGAUCUAUUAAGCCAUAUCAAUGUAGUUAGACAUGUUAAUGUAAAAUAAUGAAUUAUGUUGGCUUACACUUAUGGCACUUCCAAGGCCGUUUCAUGAUGGUUAUUACGGUCGUGUCAAUCAGGUUAUAUACUUAGGCUGUUGUAACAAGGCAUAUGCCAGCAUUGUAGACCUACUGCCUCUGCCCAGAGGACUACUAGGCUUUCAUGGCAACGACCGUUAAGAGUUCACUUUGCCACGUAUGAGCCCUGGUUAGAGUCGCUGUUGCAUCUUUCACUUUCUUCCACUACAUUGGUGGCAGCGUUAGGAUCACGUCCAGCUCAUGUCUAGUUAUGUGAACCAGUGGUGAGAAUCAUUCUGGGUUUCAACAUUUAUUCAGAAGGAAAUCCUCUGUGACUGUCUAAUUUACAUCAGUUAACUUACCAGUGUGGAACCAAAACAAACACAUUCUACACAUUUAUAAAUGACCUGUUUUAAAGUGUUCUUACAACCAUGUUGUUCUGUUGUUACUGAAGCUUAUAUAUCUAAUAACCUGACAAUGAUCCGCAUCAUAUUGGUAGACAAAUAAUGUGUGUUACGCAGAAAAACACAGCUAUGCUUUUUUUUUAGGAUGCAAACCACUAAUAUGAUUCACUAGUCUACUUCCGCAUGGCAAGCGGUACGGAAGUGCCAAAGUCUAGGACAAAAAGGCUUCUCAACAGUUUUUAUCCCCAAGCCAUAAGACUCCUGAACAGAAAAUCAAAUGGCUACCCGGACUAUUUGCAUUGUGUGCCCCCCCACCCCCAACCCCUCUUUUUACGCUGCUGCUACUCUCUGUUUAUCAUAUAUGCAUAAUCACUUUAACUAUACAUUCAUGUACAUACUUCCUCAAUCAGCCUGACUAACCGGUGUCUGUACUUUUAUAGCCUCGCUACUUACCGGUGCCUCGAUACUUGUAUAGCCUCGCUACUGUAUAUAGCCUGUCUUUUUACUGUUGUUUUAUUUCUUUACCUACCUAUUGUUCACCUAAUACCUUUUUUUUUUGCACUAUUGGUUAGAGCCUGUAAUUAAGCAUUUCACUGUAAGGUCUACACUUGUUGUAUUCGGCGCACGUGACAAAUAAACUUUGAUUUGAUUUGAUCCAUCCCGUUCUGAUCUAAUGAGAGGGAUGUAGGAUUUUCUACGGGCUAGAAUCGAGGCCUUUCCCAGUCAUGAAGUACGAAGCUAUAGGCCCCUGUUGGUUCUCAUUGGCAAAGGCUGAACUCAAGUUAUGUCAGAUUCUCCUAUACCACUUUGCCUAACAUCUUAUACCCCAGAGGUUGUAAAUAAACCCUUUUUUAAAGGUGAUAUAACUUGUAUCAUUAUUAUAGGGCUGUGAAACCUAUAGCCGAAUGGCUUCAGACUGAGCAUUUCUCACCAUCUAUUUACACAUUGCAAUUUUCGUUUUAUAACAGGUAGUGUCCAUUUAUUUACAGUAGUGAACUAUUACUUUCUUCAGUGGAAAUACAGAAUAUAUAUAAAACUGUCAAAUAUACCAAAGCUAAAUCAAGUAGAGAACUACAAACAUUUAACCAGUUAAAGAUAAUGAAUACAUGACAACUAGAAUAUUUUAUUAUAAAUAAUGAAUACAAAAGAGUUGGCUAUAACAGUACAAACAAAGUGAGUGUGUGUAUAUGUGUGUUAGUGUUUGUGUGUGCAUGAUCAUUUCCAAUCAUACAACUGUAUCUCCAUUCCCCAAUUGAAUACCUUCAUUGUUAACACAAAAUAUAUAUAUACUGUAUGUAUAUCUUUUUGGGUCCUAUCUGACAACCCUCAUAAAGUUCGACAUAGCCUUGUAUAAAAUGCAUUAUGAAAGAAAUGGUGUAAUGUACACGUGGAGCCUUGUAUUAAAUGCAUUAUGAAGAAAAUGUUUUCAUGUAUGAUGAUGGCCUACUUUAUAAUAAGGUGGUAGGCCUAAUUUGGUGUUUUACGAAUUAAAAAAUGUAAGUGUAUUAUACAAUUAUUUUAUACAAUAGGCUUCAUGUCGGUACCAACUUUCAUUCAGAAACGAAGGCUUAAUAAUAAUAAUAAUAAAA
rnacentral:lncRNA from 1 species